UCCUGGUGGCUUAGUGGUAAAGAAUCUGCCUGCAAUGCAGCGGACCUGGGUUUGAUCCCUGGGUCAGGAA
rnacentral:tRNA from 1 species